rnacentral:rRNA from 1 species
AACGAACGCUGGCGGCAUGCCUAACACAUGCAAGUCGAACGAGACCUUCGGGUCUAGUGGCGCACGGGUGCGUAACGCGUUGGAACCUGCCCUUAGGUUCGGAAUAACUCCCCGAAAGGGGUGCUAAUACCGGAUAAUGUCUUCGGACCAAAGAUUUAUCGCCUUUGGAUGGGCCCGCGUUGGAUUAGCUAGUUGGUAGGGUAAAAGCCUACCAAGGCGACGAUCCAUAGCUGGUCUGAGAGGAUGAUCAGCCACACUGGGACUGAGACACGGCCCAGACUCCUACGGGAGGCAGCAGUGGGGAAUAUUGGACAAUGGGCGAAAGCCUGAUCCAGCAAUGCCGCGUGAGUGAUGAAGGUCUUAGGGUUGUAAAGCUCUUUUACCCGGGAUGAUAAUGACAGUACCGGGAGAAUAAGCUCCGGCUAACUCCGUG